GAGACCUUCUGGGAGGACUACGAGCACGCCGAGGUGGUGUUCGGCGCCUAGGAGGUGGUGGUGAACGUCUUCGAACAGGACUGCCACGAAUUCUUCUUGGAGAGGGCCUUGGAGGAGAUCUAUGUCGUCUUGCCAAAGGCGAUGGGGAACGGCCACCUCUCAUGGGUGAUGCAGGCCUCCUUCUAGGAGGAGAAUCGCGACGAAAAGGAGAUUCUACACGGCGACGUGGGGGAGACUCCGGACGACGGCGUGGAGAAUCGGGUUGUCUUCUAGGAGACCCACCUCGUCGACCAACAGGCGAGCGCCUUCUAGGUGAAAGAGGUUUUCGACGAGGAGAGGGAUCUCUCUGUCUUUUCAUGUCAUCCUUGUCAGCAUCAGGACCAACAUUUUCAGGCUUAGGACCAUCUCUCUUUGGAACGGUUGCUACAGUCCUUGGAGGUGUUGGCAUCUUCUGUCUUUGAGGCAAUGUAAAUCUUGCUCGAAUAACAUUCCCAUCAAUUUGGGCACCAUCCAUAUACACUUGGGCUUUUUCAGCAUCAGAUCUCGUUUUGAAUUCAACAUAUCCGUAUCCUUUAGGAAGGUUGACUGUGCGAUCCAUUGCAAGCUCGACAUUGACCACUUCACCAAAAUUACCGAAGAUUUCUCUUAAAUGACCCUCGUGGACAUUCCUACUCAGUGCGUCAAUGUGAAGAACAAGUGACUCGCGUACAGGAGAUGGUUUCCUGGGUGGCGGAGAACUUCGUUUAGCUGGUGGAGAUGAAGCGCGAGUCCGCCGAGCUGUUUCAGUCGGACUCUUUCUCUGAGGAGGGGGGCUUCGGCUCCGAGAACUACCGCUGCGAGAGAGAGACGAAGACGAGGAAAUGGACCUGGAACGAGAACGGGAGCGGGAGACAGAGGCAGACCUGGAGCGCGAGCGGGAACUGGAGCGGGAAUCAGAGCCGGAGAAUGAGCGGGAACGUGAGGAGGAACCCGACCCCGACGGCGGCGAGCGACG
rnacentral:misc_RNA from 1 species